rnacentral:rRNA from 1 species
AACGACUCUCGGCAACGGAUAUCUCGGCUCUCGCAUCGAUGAAGAACGUAGCGAAAUGCGAUACUUGGUGUGAAUUGCAGAAUCCCGUGAACCAUCGAGUCUUUGAACGCAAGUUGCGCCCGAAAGCUUCGGCCGAGGGCACGUCUGCCUGGGCGUCACAC